GUGAUUCAGGGUCGGUUGUGGCUGUAUUCUGCACAGAGAAGGCUGGGGCAUGUCAGCAGUUGGACCAGAGCCAGGAGCUGCCUCACAACACCCCUUCACCACAAACCGAUGUCUUUGGGGAACUUUGCACUGUUCUGUACCCAUGCAGCUGGGCUUGGGUCCCAGUUCCAGCACCUUCUGUCUCUGCUGUCUUCGUGGCCGUGUGUGUGAUGCUAGGAUUCAGCUUGGCAACCGUGUUCCUGCUGCCUUGGUCCAUGCUCCCGGACGUGGUAGAUGACAUAGCUGUGGAAAAACCCCUGCUGCAAGGACCUUGAGCAACAGUUUCUUUCUACUGCUAUGCCUUCUGCAGGCUGGUCUUCUUCCACCUGUACCCCAUCAACGAGGAACAACGCCUCCAGCUCCAGAGAGAGCAAGGCAGAGAGGUUGAAGACAUACAUUCAACUGAUAGGAGAGAUAGGAUCAACACGCAGUCGUCAGUCAAGACGCCAACCACAUUUUAAUUUAUUUUUAUUUUAUUUAGCCUUUACUUAUCUAGGCAAGUCAGUUAAGAACAAAUUCUUAUUCGCAAUGCAGGCCAAACCCGGAUAACGCUGGGCCAAUUGUGUGCCGCCCUAUGGGACUCCCAAUCACGGCCGGAUGUGAUACAGACUGGAUUCGAACCAGGGACUGAAGGGACUGUAAAAUAUAUUUUGAUUUUGGUUACUACAUGAUUCCAUAUGUGUUAUUUCAUAGUUUUGAUGUCUUCACUAUUAUUCUACAAUGUAGAAAAUAGUACAAAUAAAGAAAAACCCUUGAAU
rnacentral:lncRNA from 1 species